UGCCAAUAGAAUGGGAUAAUCUCCUUACAGUGAUCUGAGUAAACCUUUAAGAGUUUUCAAGGGUUCAGGUUCCUGAUGACUACUACAUAAACGAAGUGGUCAGCACACAAUUCCAGUAUUCUAACUUGGUCGCAGGCAUCAAAGCACCAUAGAGUACUAUCUUACUCCAUUUGGGUUGCUAUUCCAAAAAUACCGCACACAGGGUGGCUUAAAAGCUUAAACAACAAACAUUUUUUUCUCUCAGUUCUGCCAACUGAGAAGUCCAAUAUCAAGCCUUGAAAGUGCUUGACACUCUCUCAUUUCCUUUUUAUCUCUUUUUAGAUGUAAGCAUUUCUAAGCAUGUUCCUGACUACCCUAUCCAAAGCAGCACUCUCCAUUCUGUGUGCCCUUCUUUCACUUUGUAGCACUACUUUACAAGAUGUUACACAAAAUUACUUUACAUUAUACUUAUUGUCUAUUUUACAAGUAUGCAAUCUCCCUGAGGGCAAGGACUUUACUUUGUGUACUAUUGUUUCACCAGAGUCAAGAAAAGAGCCUGACAUGAACCAACUGCUCAAUAACUAUUUGUUGCAUGGGUUAAUAAAUGAAAAGGACCUGGAUUAUUUUACUGUCCCACAUGACAUUCAAGGAUGGCUAUCAUUAAAGAAACAGAAUGCAAGUGUUGGUGAGGAGGUGAAGAACGUGGAACCCUUGUGCACUGUUGGUGGGAAUGUAAAAUGGCACAACCAUUAUAGAAAACAGUUUCACGUUUCCUCAAAAAUUAGAAAAUGAAAUUACUGUAUAAUCCAGUAAUUCCCUA
rnacentral:lncRNA from 1 species